rnacentral:tRNA from 1 species
GGAGAGGUGGCAGAGCGGUUGAAUGCACCGGUCUUGAAAACCGGCAAGGGCUUAUCCCCUUCGAGGGUUCGAAUCCCUCCCUCUCCGCCA